rnacentral:rRNA from 1 species
UUCGCAAUGCCCGAAAGGGUGACGAAGCGACGCCGCGUGUGGGAAGAAGGCCUUCGGGUUGUAAACCACUGUCGGGAGUUAAGAAAUACAAGGAUAUUAAUAGUGUCUUUGUUUGACUAAGGCUCCGGAGGAAGCCACGGCUAACUCUGUGCCAGCAGCCGCGGUAAUACAGAGGCGGCAAGCGUUGUUCGGAAUUAUUGGGCGUAAAGAGCACGUAGGCGGCUAUGUAAGUCGGUUGUGAAAGCCUUCCGCUCAACGGAAGAACAGCAUCCGAUACUACAUGGCUUGAGUGCGGGAGGGGAGAGUGGAACUUCUGGUGGAGCGGUGAAAUGCGUAGAUAUCAGAAGGAACGCCGGCGGCGAAAGCGGCUCUCUGGCCCAUAACUGACGCUGAGUGUGCGGAAGCUAGGGGAGCAAACGGGAUUAGAUACCCCGGUAGUCCUAGCCGUAAACGAU